GGGAGACCGAAGGUGGGAAAUGGGACCCUCAGGACCCCGCCCCGCGCCCUCGGGGCUCUUUAAAAACAGAUGGUUUGAUUUCACAGCGAGGCUUUUCUUCUUUUUCUUUUUGCAGGCAACACGACUGAAAUGUGAACGUUUCUGUUAAAAUACGCUCAGGAAAAAGUACAAUGUAUGUCAAAUAGAUCUUAGGCACGUACCAGGAGGCAUUUUUCCUUCUCCCUUUCCCCUUCCCAUUUGCGUUCCUCCGGCAAGAGCGACGCCUGGCGAUGGGGCGAUGGGGCCGGCCCUCCCCUGCCCGGCUCCGGUCCUGCGCUAGGCCCACCUCGCAGCCGGUGUAAACAACAGCUUCCAGAAAACAAGCAUGUGAAGAUUCUACUGUUGUAAAAUAGCUUGGUGUAAGACAGUUUUUCAAAAACAUUUUGUAUGGCAAAAGAAGAAAACAUGACAUUUUCACAUAUUAUUUUUAAUUUAUGUAGACUUUUUUAGAAUAGUGUUUUAUAAAAUGAAAAGCUAAAUUUCUAUAAUAUACCAGCAGGAUCUAUCCUCCCCCCAACGCACACACGCAAAUUCUACCUGCCAAGGAAGACUUGCUGGUAAUUAAUAUUAUCUCUCUUCUUUUGCAGUUUGUAAUGGGACAAAUGGAUUCCUUGAAUGUGCCCUUUCUCCCAUGCAAUGUGGGCCCAGCCUCCCGCCUCACUCAGGAGAGGCAUCAGAGCUGACGGUCUUUGGAUGAAUGAGACCUUGCUAUUAAGAAUCAGACAAUUUAUGUGUUCAUUUAUCUUUACCAAGUUCUGUGCUAAAAUUAUCUAGGUGCUGCUCAUUUUAUAUUAUAGAAACCAUUUCUACAGGCUUUAACAAACUUAGAGUGUACCACUGAUUUGUUAAUCUUUACUGAACUUUCAAGUUAAUGGUAUUGUCAAGAUGACCCCUUGGAGUUCUCCAGUCACCAGAAACGUGUGCUGUCACCCCUUGUUCUACUCCUGGGACUGUGGGGCCUGUGGGACACGCAGAUAGGGAAAGUUGCCCUCCCUCUGCGUGGGUUUCACACCCUCCAGCUGCUGUGUUUUCGACCCACGUUUGAAAAAUAUCUGAAAGUGGACCCUUUCAAACCCCUGCUGUUCAAGAGUCAGCUGUAUUGUGUCAAUACAAUCUGAUGUGCUAAAUCCAUUGGCUGUGCUGGUAGUGCAAAGGAAAGCACCCCAGUUCUUUACUGUCAAAAACACAUGAAGCUGUUUUUGACAGAUGGCUCAGUCACUCCUCUACUUUUUGUGUAAAAUGAGGUAGUUGGUCUAGUUGAUGACCAAACUCUAAAACUACAUAAUACUAAGAUUAUUACCAAAAAAGUCUUAACCAGAUGCAGUGUUCCCUACAAAAAGCUGAAGGUAAUUCACUUGAAGUCAUCACGAUGAGUUCCAUCAUCUGUUUUCAGGAAUCAUUUAAUUCCUUCCUUUAGGACGUGAACAACAUUCUGCUCUCAAGGGUCCAGGACGCCAAAAAGAAAAGAGACAAAAUUAGCAACAAACUGUAUUCUAGGGUUACUGGAAAAAUUUCUAGAUUUGAUGUAGUUGGUUAUUUUUUUGAGAAAACUAAGUUGGAUCAUAAGAAGAAAACUGAGCAGAGGAAAAAAGUCUGUAUUUAAUCUACUCUGACAGUACUAUAUAUGGGUCAUAAGAUGGGUGAGUUAUUUUUUUUUCAAUCCAAUCCAUAAACAGGUUAAAGUUCUGAUGUUUUGACUGCAAUCUUUUUUUUCUUCACCCAGAAGGUACAUAUUUAAUUUUAGAUAAAUAUUAACUACCUUCAAAGACUUUUAAAAUAGGCAUAUACUAUAUGCUUUAAAAGGAAUUGUUAUAUUUGUUCAAUCAUUAUGUCAAUCAUUUCACAAUCUAAGUAAGUUCGUAUUGUAAAAAAAAAAUUACCUUUCAUAAAGGACAGCAUCUUGUGAUAUAAACAAAUAUUGCUUACUGUUUAAUUUUUACCAAUUCUGGUUUUUUUUUUUAACAAUCAAAAUGCUAUUAGUGUGCUGGGGAAGUACUAGAAAGUGUUUAAAGCAUUUAGGAAGACAAGCUUUCUAACAGGAUUAAUUUUCCUAUUAUAGAUGUAAUAAAUAUAGACUCUCAGAAGUGAUAAUGUAUGCAUGAUAUCUGCCUCUUAUUCUAGAUCAAUGAAGUUCAACAUUCUAUGUGAUGCUUCUCCCCUUUGAGGGAGGAAGGAGACUAUUCCAGAAACAUGGUCAUCUACCCCCUUCCCAUUCUUUGACACCACAUUUGCAUCUGCGAAUGCACACUGCUAUGCAUGUUCAGGAGAGAAAUUAGGUGAAAGUUUUAUUUGAAGGGUUGGGAUGAGAUAGCAUGACUGAUAAACAUUUUAAAAAAUUUAUUGUUUAAUGGUCAAGAUAAAGAGGAUUUUUUCAUGGGGAAAGGCUUAAAGGAAGUAUGGACUUUACCUUGUUCCUUCAAACUGGAUUUUAGUUAUAAAAUCUAAAAACACUGUGAUGCUUACUUGCCAUUUGUAGGCACCAAUCUGGCAUCUUUUGAUGGAAGCAGUGAGAAUAAAUUUGAAUGAACACACCCGUCAUCAACAUAUUAAAGAAAAGACCCUCUUAUUUGGUAUAAAGGCUACGUCAACAGUCAAACUCAUAUGCCAAGAAAAUAUAGUCAUAGAUGCCGAGUAACAACACCAGUAUAUGUACAUUCAAUCUGUUUGCUGCAGGAAAUCAAAUAUUCUGAUCAGAAGUGACACACACAAUGGUCUGGGGUCAUCGCAGAAACAUCCAAAGUGUCAUAAAGGCACCACCUACCAAAGUGGAUUUUUGUUUGAUUCUAGGAUACGCUAACCACUGGGACAGAGAUGCCUCCUGGAUAGAGGGAACUGUGCCUGCAAACUCCUGAGCAGGAGGCCCCAGAGCUUCUUGGAUCUGCUGGAAAGACUGGGCAGCAGGAAGGGGCUGAGAGGAACAGAUGGUAAGGCACCUCCCCUGAACUCCACUUUCUUUCAGGAAUGCAGCAUAGUGGAGUGCAAAGGAGGUGGGCACCAAAGCCACAGAAAGGGGCUCAAGCUGAUUCCCACCCACAUCUGUAUGAACUUGGGCGAGACAGCUUCUUUGAGCCCAGUUUCUUCAUGUCUAAAAUGGCAGGAGUACGUAGAACCUCGGAGGUUUUAUACACAUUAAGUAAGAUAAGAUAAAAUAUGUUAA